GUGUCAGCAGCCGCGGUAAUACGGAGGGUGCGAGCGUUGUUCGGAAUUACUGGGCGUAAAGCGCGUGCAGGCGGCCGACUAAGUUCGGUGUGAAAGCCCGGGGCUCACCCCCGGAAGUGCGCUGGAAACUGGUCGGCUAGAGUACGGGAGAGGGAAGCGGAAUUCCUGGUGUAGCGGUGAAAUGCGUAGAUAUCAGGAGGAACACCGGCGGCGAAGGCGGCUUCCUGGACCGAUACUGACGCUGAGACGCGAAAGCGUGGGGAGCAAACAGGAUUAGAUACCCUGGUAGUCCACGCUGUAAACGAUGGGUACUAGGUGUCGCGGGUGUUGACCCCUGCGGUGCCGCAGCUAACGCAUUAAGUACCCCGCCUGGGGAUUACGGUCGCAAGAUUAAA
rnacentral:rRNA from 1 species